UCCUACUUUGGUGUCUUCCCUCACACCCUCCCCACCCCGCCAAUAUUAUCCAGCACGGAGAAGCAAAACCAGAAGCUCCUCUCCAACUUGCGGUUCUUCUCUCCACUUGCAGUCCUUCCCACGCUGUGUCCUGAUUCUAACAGUUCCCUGGACUCUAUUCUGAAUCCCCAGAGAGAAGGCCUGGCACUGGGCGGUCGUGGGAGAGAAGGCAGAAGAGCCAGCUUUUUGGAACUGUGCACGGGGCAGAUUGUGCACGAGAAAGAGCGUUUUGGAACUGUGCCUCCGGAGGGGUGAAGGUAUGGAAAAUUUGAAGCAUAUCAUCACCUUUGGCCAGGACAUCUACAAACGGUGUGAAGAGAUGAAAUACUGCAAGAAACAGUGCCAGCGCCUGGGCAACCGUGUCCUCGGCCUGGUCAAGUCUCUGGAGAUGCUCCAGGACCAAGGAAAGAGGAGGGUGCCCUCUGAGAAGUUAACCACAGCCAUGAAACACUUCAAGGCUGCCCUAGAGGAGGCCAAUGGGGAGAUAGACAACUUCAGCAAAAAAUCCAAUAUCUGGAGGUUUCUAACAACAAGCCAGGACAAAAUACUCUUCAAAGAUGUCAACGAGAAACUGAAUGAUGUCUGGAAGGAGCUAUCGCUGUUACUUCAGGUUGAGCAACACCUGUCUGUUUCACACAUAAGCCAAGGGGCAUCCUGGGCACAGGAAGAUCAGCAGGAUGCAGCCGAAGACAGGCGAGCCUUCCAGAUGCUGAGAAGGGAUAAUGAAAACAUAGAAGCUUCGUUGAGACGAUUAGAAAUCGACAUGAAAGAAAUCAAGGAAACUUUGAGGCAGUAUUUACCACCAAAAUGCAUGCAGGAGACCCUGCAAGAGCAAGUCAAGGAGAUCAAGAAGGAGCAGCUUUCAGGAUCCCCAUGGAUUCUGCUAAGUGAAAAUGAAGUCAGCACAGUUUAUAAAGGAGAAUACCACAGAGCUCCAGUAGCCAUAAAAGUAUUCAACAAACCCCGGGCUGGCAGCAUUGUAAUGGUAAGGCAGGCUUUCAAUGAUGAGAUCAAAACCGUGAAGAAAUUUGAAUCUCCCAACAUCCUGCGUAUAUUUGGGAUUUGCAUUAAUGAAACAGUGACUCCGACUCAAUUCUCUAUCGUCAUGGAGUACUGUGAACGCGGGACCCUGAGGGAGCUGUUGGAUCGGGAAGAAGACCUCACACUCGGCAAGCGCAUGGUCCUCAUCCUGGGGGCAGCCCAAGGCCUGUACCGGCUACACCAUUCAGAAGCACCUGAACUCCACAGAAAAAUCAGAAGCUCAAACUUCCUGGUAACUGAAGGCUACCAAGUGAAGCUUGCAGGAUUUGAGUUGAGGAAAACACAGACUUCCAUCAGUUUGAAAGCUACAAGAAAAAAGACAGAGGCAGUCAAAUCUACAGCAUAUAUCUCACCUCAGAAACUGGAAGAUAUAUAUUAUCUAUAUGACAUAAAGUGUGAAAUAUACAGCUUUGGAAUCGUCCUCUGGGAAAUUGCCACUGGAAAGAUCCCGUUUAAAGGCUAUGAUUCUGAUAAGAUCUACGAGCUGGUGGCUGUGAAGCGGCAGCAGGAGCCACUGGGUGAAGACUGCCCUUCAGAGCUGCGGGAGGUCAUUGACGAGUGCCGGGCCCAUGAGCCCUCUGCACGGCCCUCUGUGGAUGGCUCCCUUACAACCUAGGGUCCUCCUGGUAUUAAGGAAUCUAACAACAGAGACUAAUUCACAAUAAAAUAAAUCUUAAAGAAACUCUCCACCUUUACUAAGUAGUAGAUUGAAAUCUAAACCAAGGAGUCCCUGGACAAGAAGCUGGGAGAGGCACACACUGGACAUCUCUCUCUCAUAUCCUUUGGCAUUGAGUUAUUUAUGGGUGCAAGGAGUGUGCGCACUUCUCUGUUACAAAUAGAAAACAAUUCCAGUCAUACAGGACAUAUCCCACUUCAAAUGAUAUUUCCAAAAAUACAGCUCUGACAGUAGCUUUGAUAGAUGGUUUGUUAAAUGUAUCUUUCUGGGUGUCCAUACCUUUUAACAAUGUAAUUUGCAGCUCCUCCCAUCCAUAAAUGAAGUCUGUUUUCCCACCCUUGAAUCUGGGCUGGCAUUGUGACUUGAUUUAUCAUUAGAAUAUGGAAGAAGUGACUGUGUGCCAGUUCCAAGCCUAGGCUUCAAGAGGCCUUAUAAAUGUCUGUUGGAACCUUACCCAGCCAUGAACAGGUUGAGCGAGCAUGCUGGAGAAUGAGAGACCACAUGAAGCAGAAACAUGCUUUCCUAGCUGAAAUCAUACUAGACCAACCAAUAUGGCAGCUAACACAGUUACGUGAAUGAGAUCAAUCAAGACCAGAAGAACCACUCAAGCAGAGCCCAAUCCAAAUUGCCCAUUCAAACAGUCAGGAGCUAAAUAAAUUAUUGUUGUCUUAACACUAAGUUUUGGGGUGCUUUGUUACACAAUAAAA